ensembl:lncRNA
AUGGGAGGAGGGAAAAUACAAUUUUCUCUGAUCCUGCUUAUGCAAUAGGGGUUUGUCUCUCCUGGUGUGGUGUCUGGAGGAGUAGGGGUUUGUCUCUCCUGGUGUGGUGUCUGGAGGAGUAGGGGGUUUGUCUCUCCUGGUGUGGUGUCUGAAGGAGUAGGGGUUUUGUCUUUCCUGAUGUGGUGUCUGGAGGAGUAGGGGGAUUGUCUCUCCUGGUGUAGAGAUGUAGAGCUUUCUCUCUCCUGGUGUGGUGUCUAGAGGAGUAGGGGGUUGUCUCUCCUGGUCUGGUGUCUGGAGGAGUAGGUGGUUUGUCUCUCCUGGUGUGGUGUCUGGAGGAAUAAGGGUUUGUCUCUCCUGGUGUGGUGUCUAGAGGAGUUGGGGUUUUGUCUCUCCUGGUGUGGUGUCUGGAGGUGUAGGGGUUUGUCUCUCCUGGUGUGGUGUCUGGAGGAGUAGGGGAUUUGUCUCUCCUGGUGUGUUGUAUGGAGGUGUAGGGGUUUGUCUAUCCUGGUGUGGUGUCUGGAGGAGUAGGGGUUUGUCUCUCCUGGUGUGGUGUCUGAAGGAGCAGGGGGUUUGUCUUUCCUGUUGUGGUGUCUGGAAGAUAGGGGGUUUGUCUCUCCUGGUGUGGUGUCUGGAGGAGUAGGGGGUUUGUCUCUCCUGGUGUGGUGUCUGGAGGAGUAGGGGGUUUGUCUUUCCUGAUGU